GACAGAAGGGAUUAUGUUUUAUUGUAUUUCCACUGCCUAAAACAGUAGCACCAAGUAGGCACUAAAAUACUUAAUAAACUACUAUUUACAACUGGUAAAAACAGCAAAGCAUGAGACAGUUGUAUAACACUCUAAUCCAGAAAUAAACCCAACCAAAUAUAUAAGUUCCAUAUAUAAUAAAUGAACUGGCUGGAUGCAGUGGUUCAUGCCUAUAAUCCCAGCACUUUGGGAGGCUGAGGGUAUGAGAAUCACUUGAACCCAGGAGGCGGAGGUUGCAGUGAGCCAAGAUCACAGCACUGCGCUCCAGCAUGGGUGACAGAAAGAGACUCUGUCUCAUC
rnacentral:lncRNA from 1 species